rnacentral:rRNA from 1 species
GACGAACGCUGGCGGCGUGCUUAACACAUGCAAGUCGAACGGAAAGGCCCUGCUUUUGUGGGGUGCUCGAGUGGCGAACGGGUGUGUAACACGUGAGUAACCUGCCCUUGACUUUGGGAUAACUUCAGGAAACUGGGGCUAAUACCGGAUAGGAGCUCCUGCUGCAUGGUGGGGGUUGGAAAGUUUCGGCGGUUGGGGAUGGACUCGCGGCUUAUCAGCUUGUUGGUGGGGUAGUGGCUUACCAAGGCUUUGACGGGUAGCCGGCCUGAGAGGGUGACCGGCCACAUUGGGACUGAGAUACGGCCCAGACUCCUACGGGAGGCAGCAGUGGGGAAUAUUGCACAAUGGGCGGAAGCCUGAUGCAGCAACGCCGCGUGCGGGAUGACGGCCUUCGGGUUGUAAACCGCUUUCGCCUGUGACGAAGCGUGAGUGACGGUAAUGGGUAAAGAAGCACCGGCUAACUACGUG